rnacentral:rRNA from 1 species
GAAAAAGAACCUGAAACCGUGUACGUACAAGCAGUGGGAGCACCUUCGUGGUGUGACUGCGUACCUUUUGUAUAAUGGGUCAGCGACUUAUAUUCUGUAGCAAGGUUAACCGUAUAGGGGAGCCGAAGGGAAACCGAGUCUUAACUGGGCGUUAAGUUGCAGGGUAUAGACCCGAAACCCGGUGAUCUAGCCAUGGGCAGGUUGAAGGUUGGGUAACACUAACUGGAGGACCGAACCGACUAAUGUUGAAAAAUUAGCGGAUGACCUGUGGCUGGGGGUGAAAGGCCAAUCAAACCGGGAGAUAGCUGGUUCUCCCCGAAAGCUAUUUAGGUAGCGCCUCGUGAACUCAUCUUCGGGGGUAGAGCACUGUUUCGGCUAGGGGGCCAUCCCGGCUUACCAACCCGAUGCAAACUACGAAUACCGAAGAAUGUUAUCACGGGAGACACACGGCGGGUGCUAACGUCCGUCGUGAAGAGGGAAACAACCCAGACCGCCAGCUAAGGUCCCAAAGUCAUGGUUAAGUGGGAAACGAUGUGGGAAGGCACAGACAGCCAGGAUGUUGGCUUAGAAGCAGCCAUCAUUUAAAGAAAGCGUAAUAGCUCACUGGUCGAGUCGGCCUGCGCGGAAGAUGUAACGGGGCUAAACCAUG